UACGUAGGUCGCAAGCGUUGUCCGGAUUUACUGGGCGUAAAGAGCGCGCAGGCGGCUGGUCAAGUCCGAUGUGAAAUCUCCCGGCUCAACUGGGAAACUGCAUCGGAAACUGAUCGGCUUGAAGAUGGGAGAGGAAAGUGGAAUUCCCGGUGUAGCGGUGAAAUGCGCAGAUAUCGGGAAGAACACCCGUGGCGAAGGCGGCUUUCUGGGACGGUACUGACGCUGAGACGCGAAAGCGUGGGGAGCGAACAGG
rnacentral:rRNA from 1 species